rnacentral:rRNA from 1 species
GAUGAACGCUGGCGGCGUGCCUAAUACAUGCAAGUCGAGCGAACGGACGAGAAGCUUGCUUCUCUGAUGUUAGCGGCGGACGGGUGAGUAACACGUGGAUAACCUACCUAUAAGACUGGGAUAACUUCGGGAAACCGGAGCUAAUACCGGAUAAUAUUUUGAACCGCAUGGUUCAAAAGUGAAAGACGGUCUUGCUGUCACUUAUAGAUGGAUCCGCGCUGCAUUAGCUAGUUGGUAAGGUAACGGCUUACCAAGGCAACGAUGCAUAGCCGACCUGAGAGGGUGAUGGGCCACACGGGAACUGGAACAGGGCCCAGACUCCUACGGGAGGCAGCAGGAGGGAAUCUUCCGCAAUGGGCGAAAGCCUGACGGAGCAGCGCGGGGUGAGAGAUGAAGGUCUUCGGAUCGUAAAACUCUGUUAUUAGGGAAGAACAAAUGUGUAAGUAACUGUGCACUUCUUGACGGUACCUAAUCAGAAAGCCACGGCUAACUACGUG